rnacentral:rRNA from 1 species
GAUGAACGCUAGCAGAACGCUUAACGCAUGCAAGUCGAGCGAUUCUCUUCGGAGAAGAGCGGCGGACGGGUGAGUAACGCGUGGGUAACCUGCCCUAUACACACGGAUAACAUACCGAAAGGUAUGCUAAUACGAGAUAAUAUGCUUUUAUCGCAUGGUAGAAGUAUCAAAGCUCCGGCGGUACAGGAUGGACCCGCGUCUGAUUAGCUAGUUGGUAAGGUAACGGCUUACCAAGGCGACGAUCAGUAGCCGACCUGAGAGGGUGAUCGGCCACAUUGGAACUGAGACACGGUCCAAACUCCUACGGGAGGCAGCAGUGGGGAAUAUUGCACAAUGGGCGAAAGCCUGAUGCAGCAACGCCGCGUGAGCGAUGAAGGCCUUCGGGUCGUAAAGCUCUGUCCUCAAGGAAGAUAAUGACGGUACUUGAGGAGGAAGCCCCGGCUAACUACGUGCCAGCCGCCGCGGUAA